rnacentral:rRNA from 1 species
UACGGGGGGGGCAAGCGUUGUUCGGAAUUACUGGGCGUAAAGGGCCAGUAGGCGGCCAACUAAGUCCGACGUGAAAUCCCAAGGCUUAACCUUGGAACUGCGUCGGAUACUGGAUGGCUUGAAUUCGGGAGAGGGAUGCAGAAUUCCAGGUGUAGCGGUGAAAUGCGUAGAUAUCAAGAGGAACACCUGAGGUGAAGACGGGUUGCUGGGCUGACACUGACGCUGAGGCGCGAAAGCCAGGGGAGCAAACGGG